GACGAACGCUGGCGGCGUGCCUAAUACAUGCAAGUAGAACGCUGAAGAGAGGAGCUUGCUCUUCUUGGAUGAGUUGCGAACGGGUGAGUAACGCGUAGGUAACCUGCCUUGUAGCGGGGGAUAACUAUUGGAAACUAUAGCUAAUACCGCAUAACAAUGGAUGACCCAUGUCAUUUAUUUGAAAGGGGCAAAUGCUCCACUACAAGAUGGACCUGCGUUGUAUUAGCUAGUAGGUGAGGUAACGGCUCACCUAGGCGACGAUACAUAGCCGACCUGAGAGGGUGAUCGGCCACACUGGGACUGAGACACGGCCCAGACUCCUACGGGAGGCAGCAGUAGGGAAUCUUCGGCAAUGGGGGCAACCCUGACCGAGCAACGCCGCGUGAGUGAAGAAGGUUUUCGGAUCGUAAAGCUCUGUUGUAAGUCAAGAACGAGUGUGAGAGUGGAAAGUUCACACUGUGACGGUAGCUUACCAGAAAGGGACGGCUAACUACGUG
rnacentral:rRNA from 1 species